UCUCGCUGGCCCAUUCAGCGCUGUAGCCUGGAGGAGUGCAGGGCUGAGGUGAGCAUCUGGAGGAAGCCCUGCUGAAUGGGGCCCUUUCAUCCAGGAGCCUGCGCUUCACCGAGCUCAAGCAGAGCGGGGUGCUGAAGAGUUUUAGCACUGCGUGCGCCAUAUGAAGAGGAGUGGCAGCAACUGAAGCAUGUGGACAUCGUUGAUAACACUUACCAGGAACACAGAAGAGAACAAAAACCUCUCCAGUUGUACAACUUGUUUGCUAACCUAUAAACACAUCACCUUUAGCAGCAUGCAGAAGUGGACACAUGUGAGUGGCCAGCGCAUAUGUACCCCAUAGUGAUUUGAUUUUCAAGGCCAGGGAUGGCAGAUUAUGCAUAAAUCCCUCCAAGUAGAUAAUCC
ensembl:lncRNA